GACGAACGCUGGCGGCGUGCUUAACACAUGCAAGUCGAACGCGCCUGUCCUCUGGGUUUCUGGGGGGUGGGUGAGUGGCGGACGGGUGAGUAACACGUGAGUAACCUGCCCCCUUCUUCGGGAUAACGGUCUGAAAGGGCUGCUAAUACCGGGUAUUCACUGGUCUCCGCAUGGGGUCUAGUGGAAAGGUUUUUUUCUGGUGGGGGAUGGGCUCGCGGCCUAUCAGCUUGUUGGUGGGGUGAUGGCCCACCAAGGCUUUGACGGGUAGCCGGCCUGAGAGGGUGACCGGUCACAGUGGGACUGAGAUACGGCCCAGACUCCUACGGGAGGCAGCAGUGGGGAAUAAUGCACAAUGGGCGCAAGCCUGAUGCAGCGACGCCGCGUGAGGGAUGGAGGCCUUCGGGUUGUGAACCUCUUUCGCCCGUGGUCAAGCCGCGACGUGGGUCGUGGUGAGGGUAGUGGGUAAAGAAGCGCCGGCUAACUACGUG
rnacentral:rRNA from 1 species